AAGUUCUUAGCUCAGUGGUUAGAGCGUCCCGACUGGAAAAGUCGGGAAGGUCAAAGGUUCGACUCUUGCAGAAC
rnacentral:tRNA from 1 species